rnacentral:rRNA from 1 species
UACGGGGGGAGCAAGCGUUGUUCGGAUUUACUGGGCGUAAAGGGCGCGUAGGCGGCCACCGCAAGUCGACUGUGAAAUCUCCGGGCUUAACUCGGAAAGGUCAGCCGAUACUGCGGGGCUAGAGUGCAGAAGGGGCAACUGGAAUUCUCGGUGUAGCGGUGAAAUGCGUAGAUAUCGAGAGGAACACCUGCGGCGAAGGCGGGUUGCUGGGCUUACACUGACGCUGAUUGUGCGAAAGCUAGGGGAGCGAACGGG